rnacentral:misc_RNA from 1 species
CUCGAUGAAGGUGGCCCUGGGCCUGCCUCCAAUGGUGAUGCCGCUGUUGCUACCCGCCCCAAGACCAAGCCUAAGGAUGGAGAAGAUGGUGAGGAUCCGGAACAAGCCAAAUUGAGGGCUGGACUGAAUUCUGCAAUUAUUAGGGAAAAGCCCAACGUCAAGUGGAAUGAUGUGGCUGGACUUGAGAGCGCGAAACAGGCGUUGCAGGAAGCUGUUAUUUUGCCUGUUAAGUUCCCCCAAUUCUUUACAGGGAAGAGACGACCUUGGAGAGCUUUUCUUUUGUAUGGGCCUCCUGGAACUGGGAAGUCUUACUUGGCCAAGGCAGUUGCAACUGA